UACGUAGGGCGCGAGCGUUGUCCGGAAUUAUUGGGCGUAAAGAGCUCGUAGGCGGCCUGUUGCGUCUGCUGUGAAAUCCCGGGGCUCAACCCCGGGCGUGCAGUGGAUACGGGCGGGCUAGAGGCAGGCAGGGGAGAACGGAAUUCCCGGUGUAGCGGUGAAAUGCGCAGAUAUCGGGAGGAACACCGGUGGCGAAGGCAGCACUCUGGGACGUGACUGACGCUGAGACGCGAAAGCGUGGGGAGCAAACAGG
rnacentral:rRNA from 1 species